rnacentral:siRNA from 1 species
AUCUCUGAGGAAAUGGUCAAAAGA